rnacentral:rRNA from 1 species
UACGGAGGAUCCAAGCGUUAUCCGGAUUUAUUGGGUUUAAAGGGUGCGCAGGCGGAAGAUUAAGUCGGCGGUGAAAUUUUGCAGCUCAACUGUAAAAGUGCCUUCGAAACUGGUUUUCUUGAGUGUGGAUGAAGUAGGCGGAAUUUGUGGUGUAGCGGUGAAAUGCAUAGAUAUCACGAGGAACUCCGAUUGCGAAGGCAGCUUACUAAACCAUAACUGACGCUCAGGCACGAAGGCGUGGGGAUCAAACAGGAUUAGAUACCCGUGUAGU